AUUGAACGCUGGCGGCAGGCUUAACACAUGCAAGUCGAGCGGGGUGAUGGUGCUUGCACUAUCACUUAGCGGCGGACGGGUGAGUAAUGCUUAGGAAUCUGCCUAUUAGUGGGGGACAACAUCUCGAAAGGGAUGCUAAUACCGCAUACGUCCUACGGGAGAAAGCAGGGGAUCUUCGGACCUUGCGCUAAUAGAUGAGCCUAAGUCGGAUUAGCUAGUUGGGGGGGUAAAGGCCUACCAAGGCGACGAUCUGUAGCGGGUCUGAGAGGAUGAUCCGCCACACUGGGACUGAGACACGGCCCAGACUCCUACGGGAGGCAGCAGUGGGGAAUAUUGGACAAUGGGGGGAACCCUGAUCCAGCCAUGCCGCGUGUGUGAAGAAGGCCUUAUGGUUGUAAAGCACUUCAAGCGAGGAGGAGGCUACUCUAGUUAAUACCUAGGGAUAGUGGACGUUACUCGCAGAAUAAGCACCGGCUAACUCUGUGCCAGCCGCCGCGGUAA
rnacentral:rRNA from 1 species